UGGUGCCAGCAGCCGCGGUAAUUCCAGCUCCAAUAGCGUAUAUUAAAGUUGUUGCAGUUAAAAAGCUCGUAGUUGAAUUUCGGGGUUAGUAGGUUGGUCAUGCCUCUGGUAUGUACUGGUCUCACUGAUUCCUCCUUCCUUAUGAACCGUAAUGCCAUUAAUUUGGUGUUGCGGGGAAUUUGGACUGUUACUUUGAAAAAAUUAGAGUGUUUAAAGCAAGCUAACGCUUGAAUACAUUAGCAUGGAAUAAUGAAAUAGGACGUUCGAUCUUAUUUUGUUGGUUUCUAGGAUUGACGUAAUGAUUGAUAGGGAUAGUUGGGGGCAUUAGUAUUCAAUUGUCAGAGGUGAAAUUCUUGGAUUUAUUGAAGACUAACUACUGCGAAAGCAUUUGCCAAGGAUGUUUUCAUUAAUCAAGAACGAAAGUUAGGGGAUCGAAGACGAUCAGAUACCGUCGUAGUCUUAACCAUAAACUAUGCCGACUAGGGA
rnacentral:rRNA from 1 species